rnacentral:tRNA from 1 species
GCUGUUAUAGCUCAGCCGGUAGAGCACGUCAUUGGUAAUGACGAGGUCAGCAGUUCGAGCCUGCUUAACAGCUCCA